rnacentral:rRNA from 1 species
UACAGAAAGUGCAAACGUUGCUCGGAAUCAUUGGGCGUAAAGCGCACGUAAACAAUCUAUUAUGUCGGAUAUGAAAACCCUUGACUUAACUAAAGAAAUGCAUCCGAAACUAACAAACUAGAGUACUAAAAAAAAUCGCGGAAUUCCCGGUGUAGAGGUGAAAUUCGUAGAUAUCGGAAGGAACACCAGUGGCGAAGGCGGCGUCCUGGGUAGAUACUGACACUGAGGUGCGAAAGCGUGGAGAGCAAACAGG